rnacentral:lncRNA from 1 species
CCGGCCGCGCUGGACUGUCUGCCGGCCCGUCUUCGGCUGUCCCCUCCCGGCGCGCUUCCCCACGAAGUCGCCGCCCCCUGUGCCUCCUCGUCGACCACGCCGCCACGCCAUCCACGAGCAAGCCCGCCCCGGCACACCACCGGCCGGAAAAAUCCCGGCCACCAUCAUCACCACCGGCCGCUUCCUCGCCGGCCUAUAAAAAGGGGCAACGCCCCGGCUCUCCACACCACCACCGCCGUUAGCCUCACCACCGCCCCUCCCCUGUUUCCCCCGUGCGCCCAACCGCCGCCUCCACCAUGCGCCGUCGCCCCUACCCAUUGCCGGCCACUCCACCUCCCAUGUCCAACUCCCCAAGGUAAGGGGCAAAAUGGGACCCCCUCCACCUCCUCCACCCCACGGCUCACCACCGGCGAGGCCCGGCCGGUCGGCCCCCCCACCGGCCCCUUCCCUUUUUCCACUCUUGGGCACGAUUCAAGGAAGAAGAAGGGGAAAAAUCCCCUUCAAUUUUGAUCUGCCCCUCCCCUUCCUCCUAUUUGCAAACCGGCCCUUCCACCUCUCUCAGAAAAGUUUCGCGGAUACGCCCUUCCACCCUUCAGAAGUAAUUACAAAUAGGUCCCUAGUUCUCGCGGUUUAGUCCUAAACCUCAUUUUAAAGCCCCUAAUACUCCUUUAACCCGUCAUUUCAUGCGCCAAACUUCCUCCAAUCGAUCCCAAAUUCGACCACAACCUCCCCUCAUAUAUUUCCGCUGAGGCAUAUCCAAAGUUCAUGAAAAUACCCUUCCUACCUAUUUUCCG